GAUGAACGCUGGCGGCGUGCUUAACACAUGCAAGUCGAACGAUGAAGCCCAGCUUGCUGGGUGUAUUAGUGGCGAACGGGUGAGUAACACGUGAGUAACCUGCCCUUAACUCUGGGAUAAGCCUGGGAAACUGGGUCUAAUACCGGAUAGGAGCGUCCACCGCAUGGUGGGUGUUGGAAAGAUUUAUCGGUUUUGGAUGGACUCGCGGCCUAUCAGCUUGUUGGUGAGGUAAUGGCUCACCAAGGCGACGACGGGUAGCCGGCCUGAGAGGGUGACCGGCCACACUGGGACUGAGACACGGCGCAGACUCCUACGGGAGGCAGCAGUGGGGAAUAUUGCACAAUGGGCGCGAGCCUGAUGCAGCGACGCCGCGUGAGGGAUGACGGCCUUCGGGUUGUAAACCUCUUUCAGUAGGGAAGAAGCGAAAGUGACGGUACCUGCAGAAGAAGCACCGGCUAACUACGUG
rnacentral:rRNA from 1 species